GACGAACGCUGGCGGCGCGCUUAACACAUGCAAGUCGAACGGAAAGGCCUGCUUUCCCUUGUGGAUUGCGGGUACUCGAGUGGCGAACGGGUGAGUAACACGUGAGUGAUCUGCCCCCAACUUGGGUAUAAGCCUUUGAUACUGGGUCUAAUUCCCGAUAGGACUGCAGGGUGGUGCCUGUGGUGGAAUACGAUUUUCUAGUGGUUGGGGAUGAGCUCGCGGCCUAUCAGCUUGUUGGUGGGGUAAUGGCCUACCAAGGCGGCGACGGGUAGCCGGCCUGAGAGGGUGGACGGCCAGAUUGGGACAGAGAUACGGCCCAGACGCCUACGGGAGGCAGGAGUGGGGAAUAAUGCAGAAUGGGCGGAAGCCUGAUGCAGCGACGCCGCGUGGGGGAUGACGGGCUUGGGGUUGUAAACUCCUUUCGACCGCGAGGAAGCCACCUGGUUGGAAGGGUGGUGACGGUAGUGGUAGAAGAAGCACCGGCUAACUACGUG
rnacentral:rRNA from 1 species